UACGAAGGGGGCUAGCGUUGCUCGGAAUCACUGGGCGUAAAGGGUGCGUAGGCGGGUCUUUAAGUCAGGGGUGAAAUCCUGGAGCUCAACUCCAGAACUGCCUUUGAUACUGAGGAUCUUGAGUACGGGAGAGGUGAGUGGAACUGCGAGUGUAGAGGUGAAAUUCGUAGAUAUUCGGCAAGAACACCAGUGGCGAAGGCGGCUCACUGGCCCGUUACUGACGCUGAGGCACGAAAGCGUGGGGAGCAAACAGG
rnacentral:rRNA from 1 species